rnacentral:rRNA from 1 species
UACGUAGGCAGCAAGCGUUGUUCGGAGUUACUGGGCGUAAAGAGUGCGUAGGCGGUCCUGUAAGUUUGGUGUGAAAUCUCCCGGCUCAACUGGGAGGGUGCGCCGAAGACUGCAGGGCUUGAGUAUGGGAGAGGUAAGCGGAAUUCCUGGUGUAGCGGUGAAAUGCGCAGAUAUCGGGAAGAACACCCGUGGCGAAGGCGGCUCUCUGGGACGGUACUGACGCUGAGACGCGAAAGCGUGGGGAGCGAACAGG